CUUCACACACACAGACCCCUACAAAGACUCAUAUAUACUCACACACAAUCUCAUAUACAUACAGAGGCGGCUCUAGACUUUAUGAGGCCUUAGACGAAACUCAAACAUGAGGCCCCACUAACAAAAAAGUGUCACAUAUACACAUUGAGGCACUGUCUACCUGUGUAUGUGCCUGAGAGUGUGUCUGACAGAGAGUAUCCUUGUGUAUGUGAAUGUAUGUCUCUGUGAGCAUGCAUUUUUGUCUGAGACCGUAUGUGUAUGGGGUAGCUGCUUGAAGUGUGUUGUGUGUAUGGG